CUGGGGGCUGGCAGAGGACAGCAGUGUUGCAGAAGCAGCAGGAAAGCUUUCAUUCCUUUGGCAAGGCCAGGUUAGGAGGGAGGAAUCCAGCUUUGUUAUUCACUUUUUUAACUGUUUUUCUUCUGCAGUAUUUAAGAAGACGAACCCAACUUGGGCUCAACAUUCCCUUGUGAGAGAGGAGAGGAGAUUUACGGAUUUUGUUUUCUUCUUGCAAACAGUGCUGGAAUUUCGCCUUCGGGGGCCUCCUAUUUUUCUUCAGACUUCACCUUGAAUUUUUGUCAACCUUUGCAAGCCACAGAGGAGGG
rnacentral:lncRNA from 1 species